AGAGUUUGAUCCUGGCUCAGGAUGAACGCUGGCGGCGUGCCUAACACAUGCAAGUCGAGCGAGAAAUAAAGGAAUGAAGCUUCGGUAGAUUUUCUUUAUGGAAAGCGGCGGACGGGUGAGUAACGCGUAGGCAACCUGCCCUGUACAGGGGGAUAGCCACCCGAAAAGGUGAUUAAUACCCCAUAACGCAAGAGAUACACAUGUAUCACUUGUCAAAGAUUUAUCGGUAUAGGAUGGGCCUGCGUCUGAUUAGCUAGUUGGUAGGGUAACGGCUUACCAAGGCAACGAUCAGUAGCCGACCUGAGAGGGUGAUCGGCCACAUUGGAACUGAGACACGGUCCAAACUCCUACGGGAGGCAGCAGUGGGGAAUAUUGCACAAUGGGCGCAAGCCUGAUGCAGCAACGCCGCGUGAACGAUGAAGGUCUUCGGAUCGUAAAGUUCUGUUGCAGGGGAAGAUAAUGACGGUACCCUGUGAGGAAGCCCCGGCUAACUACGUGCCAGCAGCCGCGGUAAUACGUAGGGGGCUAGCGUUAUCCGGAUUUACUGGGCGUAAAGGGUGCGUAGGUGGUCCUUCAAGUCGGUGGUUAAAGGCUACGGCUCAACCGUAGUAAGCCGCCGAAACUGGAGGACUUGAGUGCAGGAGAGGAAAGUGGAAUUCCCAGUGUAGCGGUGAAAUGCGUAGAUAUUGGGAGGAACACCAGUAGCGAAGGCGGCUUUCUGGACUGCAACUGACACUGAGGCACGAAAGCGUGGGUAGCAAACAGGAUUAGAUACCCUGGUAGUCCACGCUGUAAACGAUGAGUACUAGGUGUCGGGGGUUACCCCCCUCGGUGCCGCAGCUAACGCAUUAAGUACUCCGCCUGGGGAGUACGCACGCAAGUGUGAAACUCAAAGGAAUUGACGGGGACCCGCACAAGUAGCGGAGCAUGUGGUUUAAUUCGAAGCAACGCGAAGAACCUUACCUAAGCUUGACAUGGGGAUGAAAAGCAAUGUAAAGUUGUAAUGAUACCCUCGGGUAUACAUCCCACACAGGUGGUGCAUGGUUGUCGUCAGCUCGUGUCGUGAGAUGUUGGGUUAAGUC
rnacentral:rRNA from 1 species